CCUACGGGAGGCUGCAGUGGGGAAUAUUGGACAAUGGGCGAAAGCCUGAUCCAGCCAUGCCGCGUGUGUGAAGAAGGCCUUCGGGUUGUAAAGCACUUUCAGUGGGGAAGAAAGCCUUGGGGCUAAUACCCUCGAGGAAGGACAUCACCCACAGAAGAAGCACCGGCUAACUCCGUGCCAGCAGCCGCGGUAAUACGGAGGGUGCGAGCGUUAAUCGGAAUUACUGGGCGUAAAGCGCGCGUAGGCGGUCUGAUAAGCCGGUUGUGAAAGCCCCGGGCUCAACCUGGGAACGGCAUCCGGAACUGUCAGGCUAGAGUGCAGGAGAGGAAGGUAGAAUUCCCGGUGUAGCGGUGAAAUGCGUAGAGAUCGGGAGGAAUACCAGUGGCGAAGGCGGCCUUCUGGACUGACACUGACGCUGAGGUGCGAGAGCGUGGGUAGCAAACAGGAUUAGAUACCCGGGUAGUC
rnacentral:rRNA from 1 species